rnacentral:rRNA from 1 species
AGCGAACGCUGGCGGCAGGCCUAACACAUGCAAGUCGAACGAAGUCUUCGGACUUAGUGGCGGACGGGUGAGUAACACGUGGGAACGUACCUUUUGGUUCGGAACAACUCAGGGAAACUUGAGCUAAUACCGGAUGAACCCUUAGGGGGGAAGAUUUAUCGCCGAAAGAGCGGCCCGCGUUAGAUUAGCUAGUUGGUGAGGUAAAGGCUCACCAAGGCUACGAUCUAUAGCUGGUCUGAGAGGAUGAUCAGCCACACUGGGACUGAGACACGGCCCAGACUCCUACGGGAGGCAGCAGUGGGGAAUCUUGCGCAAUGGGCGAAAGCCUGACGCAGCCAUGCCGCGUGAAUGAUGAAGGUCUUAGGAUUGUAAAAUUCUUUUACCAGGGACGAUAAUGACGGUACCUGGAGAAAAAGCCCCGGCUAACGUCGUGCCAGCCGCCGCGGUAACAC